AAGAAGUGAGGAUAGGAAGUGGCUUGUUCGGUUGGGUAUGUCUAAACUAAAGGAGUUGUAAGUGACCCUGCAAUAUGUAAUUUUGGCCAUGUCAAGAUUGUCUCAACUAAUGACUGAACUUUAUCUUGUCAUUUUGCAGCUUGGAUUUUCCAUUAAGCUUGGUGAAGUAUAUUAUGUUAGUGGACGAACAGAAUACCAUGGAUGUCUUUGCUACUUUGGAGGCAAUUCUUUUUGUGGGUUCACCUCUUGUGAUUAUCUAUAUGAGACAUGCGUAGUAUUUUGGUAGAUCCAAUUGUUACAGAAAAAAAAGGAUAUUUUGGCAGUAUUUCUUCAGCUCCAUUGAAUAGCAAGGCGUCGGUGUAGGCCUGCAACGGCGGUGACAGAAGGCAGACUGUGAUUGAUCUUGAGAUUGCCUUGACCCCUGUGUCGUUUCGGCUGCUGAAUAGAAGAGCUCUAUCUUGAGAAUUCAAGGACCCCUGGGUUGAGGAGGACUCGGCCAGGGAAUGCAUUCGUUGCUGUGUGUACUAUACUGCUGCGUGAAACAACCGGCCAAGGUUCCCUUGUUCCUAUGACUAUUUCUGGAGUCAAGUCUAUGGAUAUCACCGUUGCGGGACACACCGUUGCUAUAGCAGAUACAUGGAGAAUGCAGCUAAUUUGGUGGUCAAGGAUUUGAACUACCGCUGGUUAAUGCAAAUACAAGAAGAGAACGGACAUAUUAGGAGUCAGCUCACAUAUAUCGCUGUUCGGGAACACACCGCUGA